GACGAACGCUGGCGGCGUGCUUAACACAUGCAAGUCGAACGAAGUGGCGAACGGGUGAGUAACGCGUAAUCAACCUGCCCUUCAGAGGGGGACAACAGUUGGAAACGACUGCUAAUACCGCAUACUGAAGGAGGGGAUUGCGUGUGAUUAGCUAGUUGGAGGGGUAACGGCCCACCAAGGCGAUGAUCAGGAGCCGGUUUGAGGGGAUGGACGGCCACAGUGGGACUGCGACACGGCUCAGACUCCGACGGGAGGCAGCAGUAGGGAAUCUUCCGAAAUGGACGAAAGACUGACGAGGCAACGCCCCGUGAGUGAUGACGGCCUUCGGGUUGCAAAGCUCUGUUAAGCGGGAAGCGGUACCGGAAUAGAAAGCCACGGCUAACUACGUGCCAGCAGCCGCGGUAAUUC
rnacentral:rRNA from 1 species